UGNCGGCCGCCAGUGUGAUGGAUAUCUGCAGAAUUCGGCUUACGGCUCAGUAACACGUCGGUAACCUGCCCUGUGGUCGGAAAUAACCUCGGGAAACUGAGGGUAAUGUCCGAUAGGAGAUUUGGCCUGGAAUGGUAUUUCUCCCAAACACGUGCCAUAGGAUGGGCCGGCGGCUGAUUAGGCUGUUGGUGGGGUAACGGCCCACCAAACCUAAGAUCAGUACGGGCCUUGAGAGAGGUAGCCCGGAGAGGGACACUGAGAUACGGGUCCCAGCCCCACGGGGUGCAGCAGGCGCGAAACCUUUACAAUGCACGAAAGUGUGAUAGGGGGAUACUCAGUGCUUACGGCUCUGCUGUAGGCUUUUGUCGAUCGUAAAUAGAUCGGCGAAUAAGUGGUGGGUAAGACCGGUGCCAGCCGCCGCGGUAACCCCGGCGCCACAAGUGGUCAUCGCGAUUAUUGGGCCUAAAGCGUUCGUAGCCGGCUUGGUAAAUCUCUUGUGAAAUUGUUCGGCUUAACCGGACAGCGUGCAGGAGACACUGCCAAUCUCGAGACCGGGAGGCGUAAGAAGUAUGUCAUGGGGACUGGUAAAAUGGGAUAAUCCAUGAUAGACUACCGAUGGCGAAGGCAUCUUACGAGAACGGAUCUGACGGUGAGGAACGAAAGCCAGGGGAGCGAACCGGAUUAGAUACCCGAGUAGUCCUGGCCGUAAACGCUGUGAGCUAGGUGCUGCGUAUCUCAUGAAGAUGCGCGGUGUCGGAACGAAGGUGCUAAGCUCACCGCCUGGGAAGUACGGUCGCAAGACUGAA
rnacentral:rRNA from 1 species